rnacentral:rRNA from 1 species
UGGUGGAGUGAUUUGUCUGGUUAAUUCCGUUAACGAACGAGACCGCUGCCUGCUAAAUAGUCCAGUGAGUGAAUUUCACUGACCAGGACUUCUUAGAGGGACGUGCAUUUUUUAAAUUAGCAGGAAGAUAGCGGCGAUAACA